rnacentral:rRNA from 1 species
UACGGAGGGUGCGAGCGUUGUCCGGAAUCAUUGGGCGUAAAGGGCGCGUAGGUGGCCCGGUCAGUCCGUGGUGAAAGCGCGGGGCUCAACCCCGCGUCGGCCAUGGAUACUGCUGGGCUGGAGCACUGUAGAGGCAGGCGGAAUUCCGGGUGUAGCGGUGAAAUGCGCAGAUAUCAGGAGGAACACCGGUGGCGAAGGCGGAUCUCUGGGCCAUUACUGACGCUGAGGAGCGAAAGCGUGGGGAGCGAACAGG